rnacentral:misc_RNA from 1 species
UUCGGAGUCUCAGAACGCGCGUCCAAGCUGAAUUGUAUUGACACACUAUAAACAGCAUUAGUCCAACUUACCAGUGAUGCCCAUGGCGGCCGGGAUGGCAUCGCCGAAGGAUCGAGCUGCUCCUCCUCCAGUGGGGCCCACUGUGGUGCCUGUACAAACGCCGCCUGUGAUGGUGACUGAUGCGUUCGCCAAGGACGCGAUUCUGGCCUGGUUUCGCGGGGAAUUCGCGGCGGCCAACGCCGUAAUCGAUGCGCUCUGCAGUCACCUGGC